AAGACUAACUGCAGAUGUGCAGACCUUUCCUGGUGGGCACAUGACUGAAAAGCCUGAGUUUCAGACCCAAAGCUGGUAAAAGAAUCCAACUGCACAUGGAUGGCCAUUGUCCGACUGGAACAUGCACAGAAAAUCCAAAAAAGGCAAAAGGACACGAACUGCACACAUGCGAUCAUUUCCCAGCCAGCACUUGCACAGAAGCCGCGAGGCCCAUUGGAAACUAUAGCUCCCAAACUGCAACUCACAAACUCAACUUAAGCUUGAAGUCGCCCCAGCUUUGUCAAUGCACUCUAUCUCUUGUCCAUUGCAUUCUUUCUUUGCUUGGACUAGAAGUGGACACAACCUAAAUGCAGUCAAAGAAAGGGUUAGAUAAUCCCAGGACUACCAGUCUCGCAGUAUGAAUGCUGCUCCUUAGCUCUCUGCACUACACAUAUGAUGAGAACUGGAACUGAUUCAAUCUCUUCGUGCCUACUUCAUCUUGGGACAUCAACACCACCGGAAAAGUAAAUCUUA